AGCGGUGGUAGUCGAUGCCGAUAUGCCUCCAGUGUUUAAUAAACAUCAAUCGUUAGCUUCGAAAUCGUACCACUGUAGCGGCCGCAGCUUAAUUUUCCUGGACAGUAUGGACCAGAUACCAUACAAGUGCUCAGACUGCACACCGGGAGACAAUCUGCAGGUGGCGAAUUACGGGUACUACAAGGUGGGCAAACACUAAGGUGGACGACGGAUUCGAUUCCAACGAGAGGAGUGCAAUGUGUCCUCGCACGAAACCACAUACAAUUUUGAAAACGCCAUGAACAAAACGGAGCGAGUGCGGCAUAUUGAACCCACGAGCUUAUCAGAGAAUUUGGAGUCAAGUACGCCGACCCGGCUGGAUUCCAAGUUAGUGCCCCAGCCAACUUUUGCAUUUUCCCCGGGUCAAAAAUCUGCCAGGAAAAGCUAUCCGUGCCCUUAACCACCAACGCAAGCCGUGACUGUCAAGUAUGAUCCCGGCAAAUACAUGAUUCCUACAUUUGCCACCGACACGGCAUCCUGAGGUCGUCAAAGCCCAUUUGGUUUAGAAGCUGGUAUUGACUGGUAAACCCCAACCGUGGUCCGUCGUAGUGAUCUGUUCAAGCAUGAAGGCAUGGGAGAAGUUGAUUUGCUCGAGGUUCAUCAGGAUUCUGAAUGACGACGUCGCUGUUUUCAAGCAGUACUUUAUGCACCGCUGCCGUCAGAAUUGUCCCCCAGCUAUUUUGUGCCCGCAGAACCAGCUUGAAUUAUAUAUUAUAUAAUAAUGAUUCUUAUCGAUUCUU